rnacentral:rRNA from 1 species
UGAGUAACCUGCCCCUGGCUUUGGGAUAACCCUCGGAAACGGGGGCUAAUACCGGGUAUGACAUUCUGCGGCAUCGUGGGGUGUGGAAAGUUUUUCGGCUGGGGAUGGGCUCGCGGCCUAUCAGCUUGUUGGUGGGGUGAUGGCCUACCAAGGCGGCGACGGGUAGCUGGUCUGAGAGGACGACCAGCCACACUGGGACUGAGAUACGGCCCAGACUCCUACGGGAGGCAG